AGAGAGAGAGAGAAUUAAUUGAGAGAAAUAGAAAGAGGUGAGAGACAGAGUGUGUGUGAGAGAGAGAAAAAAAAGAGCCAGAGAAAGUUGAAAGAAACAGAGAUGAGAGAGUAUGUCUGUGUGAGAGAAGCAGUAAAAGAUGAGAGACAGAGUGUGUGUGUUGAGAGAAACACAGAUGAAAGAGUGUGUGUGAGAAAGAGAACGUGUUGAGAGAAAGACACAGAGGAGAGACUGUGAUAGAGAAAUAGAAAGAGGUGAGAAACAGUGUGUAUGUGAGAGAAAGAGAAAAAGAAAUGAGAGACUGUGUGUGUUUGUGAGAGAGAGAAACACAAAGAGAGAGAGAUAGAGAAGAGAAACAGUGUCUCUCUGUGUGAGUGUGUGUGUGUUAGAGAGAGAGAGAGAGAGACAGAGAGUUGAGAGAAACAGAAACAGGAGGAGAGACUGUGUGAGAGAGAAAUAGAAAGAGGUGAGAGACAGAGUGUGUCUGUGAGAGAAAGAGAAACAGAAAGAGAUGAGAGUGUGAGUGUGUGUGUGUUAGAUAGAGAGUGUUGAGAGAAACAGAAACAGAAGGAAGAGACUGUGAGAGAGAAAUAGAAAGAGGUGAGAGAAAGAGAAACAGAAAGAAAUGAGAGACAGAGUGUGUGAGAGAGAGAAAUAGAGUUGAGAAAAAUAGAGAUGAAAAACAGUGAGUUUGAGUGUAAGAGAGAGAAAGAGAAAGAGGAGAGACAGAGUUGAAAGAAACAGAGAAGAGAGACUGUGUGUGAGAGAAAUAGAAAGAGGUAAGAGACACACUGUGUCUGUGAGAGAAAGAAACAGAAAGAUUUGAGAGACAGUGUGUGAGAGAUAGAGAGAAAAAAAAGAGCCAGAGAAAGUUGAAAGAAACAGAGAUGAGAGAGUGUGUGUGUGUGUGUGUCAGAGAGAAACAGAAACAGAGGAGAGACUGUGAAAGAGAUAUAGAAAGAGGUGAGAAACAGAGUGUGUAUGUGAGAGAAAGAGAAAUAGAGAUGAGAGACAGUGUCUCUCUGUGUGAGUGUGUGUGUGUGAGAGAGAGA